UACGGAGGGUGCAAGCGUUAUCCGGAUUCACUGGGUUUAAAGGGUGCGUAGGUGGGUUGGUAAGUCAGUGGUGAAAUCCCCGAGCUUAACUUGGGAACUGCCAUUGAUACUAUCAGUCUUGAAUACCGUGGAGGUCAGUGGAAUAUGUCAUGUAGCGGUGAAAUGCUUAGAUAUGACAUAGAACACCAAUUGCGAAGGCAGCUGGCUACACGAAUAUUGACACUGAGGCACGAAAGCGUGGGGAUCAAAACAGGA
rnacentral:rRNA from 1 species